rnacentral:rRNA from 1 species
GAUGAACGCUGGCGGCGUGCCUAAUACAUGCAAGUCGAGCGAACAGACGAGGAGCUUGCUCCUCUGACGUUAGCGGCGGACGGGUGAGUAACACGUGGAUAACCUACCUAUAAGACUGGGAUAACUUCGGGAAACCGGAGCUAAUACCGGAUAAUAUAUUGAACCGCAUGGUUCAAUAGUGAAAGACGGUUUUGCUGUCACUUAUAGAUGGAUCCGCGCCGCAUUAGCUAGUUGGUAAGGUAACGGCUUACCAAGGCAACGAUGCGUAGCCGACCUGAGAGGGUGAUCGGCCACACUGUAACAGAGACGCGGUCCAGACUCCUACGGGAGGCGGCAGUAGGGAAUCUUCCGCAAUGGGCGAAAGCCUGACGGAGCAACGCCGCGUGAGUGAUGAAGGUCUUCGGAUCGUAAAACUCUGUUAUUAGGGAAGAACAAAUGUGUAAGUAACUAUGCACGUCUUGACGGUACCUAAUCAGAAAGCCACGGCUAACUACGUG